rnacentral:lncRNA from 1 species
GCGGACUCCGCACAGCUCCACUAUCCCCUGGCAGGCCGCAGUAACGGCCACGAACCUGCUCCACCUCCUGCGACGGAUGCCAUGCGAUUCUCCUAUCCGCUGACAACGGACGCUGCUCCACCCCUCAUAACAGAUUCCACGUGGCGGGCCGAGGUGAUGGCCACGCGUCUGCCCCACUACCUUUCGCAAUCAAUUCCCCUGACCAUGGGCGGCCCACUACCAGGUGGUUACAAACGUCGCCAUCAGUCCGU